GAUGAACGCUAGCGAUAGGCUUAACACAUGCAAGUCGAGGGGCAGCAUGGUCUUAGCUUGCUAAGGCUGAUGGCGACCGGCGCACGGGUGCGUAACGCGUAUGCAACUUGCCUCACAGAGGGGGAUAACCCGUCGAAAGACGGACUAAUACCGCGUACACUCUAUGUUGGGCAUCCAAUGUAGAGGAAAUGAAAUUCGCUGUGAGAUAGGCAUGCGUCCCAUUAGCUAGUUGGUGAGGUAACGGCUCACCAAGGCGACGAUGGGUAGGGGAACUGAGAGGUUGAACCCCCACACUGGUACUGAGACACGGACCAGACUCCUACGGGAGGCAGCAGUGAGGAAUAUUGGUCAAUGGGCGAGAGCCUGAACCAGCCAAGUCGCGUGAAGGAUGACUGUCUUAUGGAUUGUAAACUUCUUUUAUACGGGAAGAACAAGAGUCACGUGUGGCUCCCUGCAUGUACCGUAUGAAUAAGCAUCGGCUAACUCCGUG
rnacentral:rRNA from 1 species